UAGAAACCCAGCAGUUCUUCAGCGACUAGCGAACGGCCGCCAUGUGAAAGAACCUGUGAUGAUGACGCCGUACGUGGUGCCCAGAUGAAACGCAGUAUUCCCGAGUCCAUCGACCUGGUUCCAUAUGUGCCGAAAAACACCGGUCAACCCCGUAAAUAAAUAAAUAAAGACUUCUGAGCUUCACUAAGUGCUAUAACGUGUCCGAAACAUCAAUCUUGGGAAGGGUUGAUGUUCCUGAGAGGAUUAUUAACCCCGCGAAAGGGUUAAAAGUAAACAGGUGCUCGCCUCUCGUCCCCCCACUACGUUCACAUCGCUGACCGAGUUGUCUUCGGCACCUAGAGUUGAUGUUGCGACUCGAAUUUCUACUUGACGGUACAAUGUACCUGAAGUAGCCAGGCACCGUAGUACCACACACGUACUGAAAGCAACAGAAAUGGUACGAGUGGACACGAUCAGACAAUAAUUCGACCAGCAUCCAACCAUGAUGCAACCUGCAGCACAAGUUCAAACGUCCGUUGACGAAUUGGAACAACUAGAUAACCAGGUUGCUGUCAAAUACAAACCUACUCUAACGUAUUUAAUUUAAUUUUUACUUAAAAAAAAAUAAAAUAAAAAUUGAAAACCAAAUGCGAAUCCAGCAAUUAGUUCAAACAUAUAAAAAUGAUGUCGUUUAAGAUGAAUAAUCUUAAAUUAUCAUUCUCAUUUGAUUUUGCUAAAUCUCCUACUGCGUAUUCAUAUAAUCAAAAUUUCAUUUUCAAAAAGAAUAGAAGAUGCAUUAUAUAAAUUACCAAAAUAAGUAUUUCUUUUGUCAUUUAAUGUUCUAAAUGUGAAUGUAAAUCAGAAAAAUUAAAAAUUUUUCACUUGUGUCAGUUUAGAAUAUGAAACUGUGUUAUAUUUCCAAUUGUUUCAACUAUUUCAAGUAUUUUAAACCUUGCAUGGCGUUAUUAACAACCUGAGAAACGUGAAGUCUAUUAUUAUUGUCAAUAAUGACUGAUGCUUCUAUGGUCAAGUUUAAAUAAUCGAAUUUUCAAAUCGAAUAGUUACCACAAUACAAGCCAUGCUUUUGCCCCAACAGAAUUUUUUUUCAGUUAAAAAGAUGAAUGUGUGCAUCGAGCGCACGUCAGUCGAGGGCAUCUAGCGCACAUUUGCAGUUAUAAAGGUAGUAUCUUAAAAUGUAAUUAAAAGAAGAAAAAGAGUUAACAAUAGAGUACCAAAAAGUUAAUACUGUCUCAUCAAUGUGAUUAUAGUUAUAGUAUAACAUAAUCUAACUUGUGCCUGUGCCUCGAUGCACGUGCGCUCCUCGCACCUCACCAAUAAAGAUACAUUUCCAUUAUUUCAAAAAAAUUGAGGUUGUUCACUUUAAAACAUUCUAACAAACAUUUUAUUGGAAGGAGUGAGUUUGGAUUCAACAGCUCUCAGUUAAAAAAUGACGUUUCAAGGCAAAAAUAUGAAAAUGAAGUUUGUAUAUGUUACGUC